GGCCUAACACAUGCAAGUCGAACGCUCGUAGCAAUACGGGAGUGGCAGACGGGUGAGUAACGCGUGGGAACAUGCCCUUUGGUUCGGAACAACUCCGGGAAACUGGAGCUAAAACCGGAUAAGCCCUACGGGGGAAAGAUUUAUCGCCGAAGGAUUGGCCCGCGUCUGAUUAGCUAGUUGGUGGGGUAAAGGCCUACCAAGGCGACGAUCCAUAGCUGGUCUGAGAGGAUGAUCAGCCACAUUGGGACUGAGACACGGCCCAAACUCCUACGGGAGGCAGCAGUGGGGAAUAUUGGACAAUGGGCGCAAGCCUGAUCCAGCCAUGCCGCGUGAGUGAUGAAGGCCUUAGGGUUGUAAAGCUCUUUCACCGGAGAAGAUAAUGACGGUAUCCGGAGAAGAAGCCCCGGCUAACUUCGUGCCAGCAGCCGCGGUAAUACGAAGGGGGCUAGC
rnacentral:rRNA from 1 species